rnacentral:rRNA from 1 species
AAUCAACGCUGGCGGCGUGCCUAACACAUGCAAGUCGAACGAGAAAGUGGGGGCAACUCCAUGAGUAAAGUGGCAGACGGGUGAGUAACACGUGAACAACCUACCCUCGAGUGUGGGAUAACACCGCGAAAGCGGUGCUAAUACCGCAUAACAUCUCCGGGUCGCAUGAUUUGGAGAUCAAAAGCGCAAGUUGCUUGAGGAGGGGUUCGCGCCUGAUUAGCUAGUUGGUGAGGUAACGGCCCACCAAGGCAACGAUCAGUAGCCGGCCUGAGAGGGCGAACGGCCACACUGGAACUGAGACACGGUCCAGACUCCUACGGGAGGCAGCAGUGGGGAAUUUUGCGCAAUGGGCGAAAGCCUGUCGCAGCAACGCCGCGUAGAGGAUGAAGGCCUUCGGGUCGUAAACUCCUGUCAGUGGGGACGAAUGCUUCGCAAGAAGUUUGACUGUACCCGCUGAGGAAGCCACGGCUAACUCCGUGCCAGC